CUUCAAAUAGCUUAGUUUUGAGCGUUAAAUUUUUAAUUUAAAAGAGAUAAAUAAACUUAUCUUUGAGGA
rnacentral:tRNA from 1 species